rnacentral:rRNA from 1 species
AUAUGGCAAGUUUGAUCCUGGCUCAGAACGAACGCUGGCGGCGUGGAUUAGGCAUGCAAGUCGAACGAGAAUCUGAGAGUCCAAGUUUUCGGACAAGGACUUUUGGAGGAAAGUGGCGGAAGGGUGAGUACAACAUGGAUAAUCUACCUUCAAGUUGGGUAUAGCUUUCCGAAAGGAGAGAUAAUCCCGGAUGUGGUGAUCCGGCGCAUGCCGGAGACUCCAAAGGUGGGGACCGCAAGGCCUGCCGCUUGAAGAUGAGUCCGUGCACUAUCAGCUAGUUGGUGAGGUAAUGGCUCACCAAGGCUAUGACGGUUAGCUGGUCUGAGAGGAUGGUCAGCCACACUGGGACUGAGAUACUGCCCAGACUCCUACGGGAGGCUGCAGUCGAGAAUCAUUCGCAAUGGGCGAAAGCCUGACGGUGCGACGUCGCGUGGAGGAUGACGGUCUUCGGAUUGUAAACUCCUGUCAUGUGGGAUAAAUAGCCCGGGUGUGAAUAGCACUUGGGACUGAUAGUACCACAGGAGGAAGAGACGGCUAACUCUGUGCCAGCAGCCGCGGUAAUUCAGAGGUCUCGAGCGUUGUUCGGAUUUACUGGGCGUAAAGGGAGCGUAGGCGGCCGGGUGUGUCGAAUGUGAAAGCCCACAACUCAACUGUGGAAUGGCAUUCGAAACUACCUGGCUAGAGUACUGGAGAGGAGAGCGGAAUUCUUGGUGUAGCGGUGAAAUGCGUAGAUAUCAAGAGGAACACCGGUGGCGAAGGCGGCUCUCUGGACAGAUACUGACGCUGAGGCUCUAAAGUUAGGGGAGCAAACAGGAUUAGAUACCCUGGUAGUCCUAACUGUAAACGGUGUACACUUGGUGUGCGAGGAAUUGUCCCUUUGCGCGCCGUAGCUAACGCGUUAAGUGUACCGCCUGGGGAGUACGGUCGCAAGAUUAAAACUCAAAGGAAUUGACGGGGACCCGCACAAGCGGUGGAGCAUGUGGCUUAAUUCGAUGCAACGCGAAGAACCUUACCUGGACUUGACAUGCAAGUGGUAGAACCCUGAAAGGGGGACGACCGUAGCAAUACGGAGCUUGCACAGGUGCUGCAUGGCUGUCGUCAGCUCGUGCCGUGAGGUGUUGGGUUAAGUCCCGCAACGAGCGCAACCCCUGUGGUUAGUUGCCCUUAUUCAGUUAGGCACUCUAGCCAGACUGCCUGUGAUAAGCAGGAGGAAGGUGGGGAUGACGUCAAGUCAGUAUGGUCCUUAUGUCCAGGGCUGCACACGUGCUACAAUGACCGGCACAGAAGGAAGCGAAACCGCGAGGUGGAGCUAAUCUCCAAAACCGGUCCCAGUUCGGAUUGGAGUCUGCAACCCGACUCCAUGAAGCCGGAAUCGCUAGUAACGGCGCAUCAGCUACGGCGCCGUGAAUACGUUCCCGGGUCUUGUACACACCGCCCGUCACAUCAUGGAAGCCGAUUGCACCCGAAGUCGUUGACUCAACCCGCAAGGGAGAUAGACGCCCAAGGUACGAUUGGUGACUGGGAUGAAGUCGUAACAAGGUAGCCGUUGGGGAACCAGCGGCUGGAUCACCUCCUUUCUAAGGAG